AUCAGCAGAUGACCCUUGGCAGGAAUUUUGUGCUAUGGUCCGUCAGAUUUUUAUAUACACAAAAGAGGAGGUCCAGAAGAUGGAUUCAAGUACCUUGAACCCAAAAAAUGAAGAUUGUCCUGAUAUGAAAGAGAAUGUCAAGGAAACAAAAGGUAGUCAAUCUGCAUCAUCAUCUAAUUCAAAAAACUCAUAGGCUUAUCCUGCAAUGAUCUUGAAGCACAAACAAAGUGAUUGUUUGUGCUUUAUCUAAGUGAUUGUUUGAACAUUUUUAUAGCAUGCAUCUUGACAAUUAAUAUAAUUUUGAAGAUCACUAUCAAGGAAGAAUGUUCAAAGGAAAGUAAAGGCUAAGGAGAAGAUCACGUAAUUAACUACACGGGUAGGUUUCCGUAAGAAUUCAACUUUUUCUUGAUCUAUUCUUAUGUAGUCCAUGGUACACAUUAAAGAUUUCACUGUAGCUUAUUUUCAGUAUUCUAACAUGUAAAUUAAUACACUUCUGUGGAUCCUCCAAACAAUCUAAGUUGUGAUGGAUUGAUAUCCCUUUAUGUUCCAAACCUUUGUUUUUUUUUUUGGAGCUUGUAAUUUUCAUUGCAAACAAUCCAUAUGGUGUAUGAAUUACAUUCAGUCCAGUAUAAACUUAGCACUUUCGCUUCAGAGGCAAUUUAUGGGUUUUAUUCUACAAUCAUGUUUACUAAUUGAUCAGAUUGAUUAAGAAGGGCAUUGGAGUAGCUUGGUAAAUUUGUUUUGCUAGGUUAUGAUAAAUUAGCAUUCAGCAGAAUAGAUGUUUGGAUUUCUUCUUCAAAUCACACAGUAAUAUUUCUCUUGUCAUUGGUGAAACAAUCAAUCCACUCUCAUUAUAACUUCCACAACAGAAAAUUUUAUGUUAUUUGCCUACUACCAAUGCAGUUUAACUGAUUUUACAUUGACUGAACAAGGUUGAUUUUAUUUAGGUAUCAAACUCUCCCAUUUGUUUUAGAUAUUACAUGUCUUGUUUGUUAAUUUCUCCAAACCAUUAUUUCUCAAUUUGUUAACAAGGAAACUCAUGUUAGCAUAGUCAUGAUCAGAGCCUAAUUAUAGUUUACAAUUAUCUGAGUGUUAUUGAUUAACUGUUCUGUCCUUUCUUCUGGUUCUUUUUUUUUUUAAAUUUGUGCACUCAUUUAGAUGGUUUAUUAUUCUUGUUGUGAUGA